rnacentral:rRNA from 1 species
AUUGAACGCUGGCGGCAUGCCUUACGCAUGCAAGUCGAACGGUAACAGGUCUUCGGAUGCUGACGAGUGGCGAACGGGUGAGUAAUACAUCGGAACGUGCCCGAUCGUGGGGGAUAACGGAGCGAAAGCUUUGCUAAUACCGCAUACGAUCUACGGAUGAAAGCAGGGGACCGCAAGGCCUUGCGCGGACGGAGCGGCCGAUGGCAGAUUAGGUAGUUGGUGGGAUAAAAGCUUACCAAGCCGACGAUCUGUAGCUGGUCUGAGAGGACGACCAGCCACACUGGGACUGAGACACGGCCCAGACUCCUACGGGAGGCAGCAGUGGGGAAUUUUGGACAAUGGGCGAAAGCCUGAUCCAGCCAUGCCGCGUGCAGGAUGAAGGCCUUCGGGUUGUAAACUGCUUUUGUACGGAACAAAAAGCCUCUUUCUAAUAAAGAGAGGUCAUGACGGUACCGUAAGAAUAAGCACCGGCUAACUACGUGCCAGCCGCCGCCGUAAAAC